rnacentral:rRNA from 1 species
UUGCUUCGGCGGGCCCGCCAUUCAUGGCCGCCGGGGGCUCUCAGCCCCGGGCCCGCGCCCGCCGGAGACACCACGAACUCUGUCUGAUCUAGUGAAGUCUGAGUUGAUUGUAUCGCAAUCAGUUAAAACUUUCAACAAUGGAUCUCUUGGUUCCGGCAUCGAUGAAGAACGCAGCGAAAUGCGAUAACUAGUGUGAAUUGCAGAAUUCCGUGAAUCAUCGAGUCUUUGAACGCACAUUGCGCCCCCUGGUAUUCCGGGGGGCAUGCCUGUCCGAGCGUCAUUGCUGCCCAUCAAGCACGGCUUGUGUGUUGGGUCGUCGUCCCCUCUCCGGGGGGGACGGGCCCCAAAGGCAGCGGCGGCACCGCGUCCGAUCCUCGAGCGUAUGGGGCUUUGUCACCCGCUCUGUAGGCCCGGCCGGCGCUUGCCGAACGCAAAUCAAUCUUUUUCCAGGUUGACCUCGGAUCAGGUAGGGAUACCCGCUGAACUUAAGCAUAUCAAUAAGCGG